ACGACACGCUGUGAUAUGGGAGGCUUGCAUGCAUUGUCACGCUAUCCACGGCCUUGACCCGUCGCGUGGCCAUCCGUGUAUGCGGUCAAAGUCUGCAACAAGACAACGUACGUCAACUCAUCAACAGGAAAAACAACACGGACCACAACACGGGCACACACGCAUCUGCAUCCAGGCACAAAGAGUCGUCAUCCGACUUAUUAACCGAAAAGUUCACAAGAAUUUGUAAUGUUUUAUGAAAAUUUGUUUCUAUUCUCUACGUUUUUAACCCAUCACUCAUAUGAUCGUACCCCGCGGUAGUGCGCCAAUCAGCGCUAACCAUUUCGUCACGUGCUUGCCUGUGCCUCGAAAUGCACGCGCUUUGAAUGCUGACUGAGUGGCACAUGGUCGCUGUUGUUUGCAGUGUGCGGUUGCCACUCAGACUCGGAUGAUGACAUUUUUGUUACGCAAAGUAAGUUUUUCCAUGAUCUGGACGGGAAAGACAAUAGUUUUCGUUUUCUACCACCAACUAGCUUUGAGGAGCUGCAAGGCGAGUUGAAAGACUCUUUACCCCUUAAUACUAAGUACAGGAGUGAGUGGGCCGCAUCACUGUUUGCUAAAUGGCAGAGAGAACGAUUGAAACGUCCCAUUGCAAAAAGGAUAUGAUAUGUAUGAUUUAUUGCAAUACUGUUAUUGUAUCAUCAGGUUUGACCGCUUCAGAUGCCACACCCAUCGACUAGAGGUCACCGCAGUUCAGAUGUGCGUCUGUACAAGAGGAUUAACAUGGCAAUGCAGGCUGCCGUUUCUGAUAUUAUUUACGGGAGUUUAAAUGAAGAACCAUUGGCGACAACAAGGAGGGUCAAGGAACGGCGGAAAAAAA